GAUGAACGCUGGCGGCGUGCCUAAUACAUGCAAGUCGAGCGAAUGGAUUAAGAGCUUGCUCUUAUGAAGUUAGCGGCGGACGGGUGAGUAACACGUGGGUAACCUGCCCAUAAGACUGGGAUAACUCCGGGAAACCGGGGCUAAUACCGGAUAACAUUUUGAACCGCAUGGUUCGAAAUUGAAAGGCGGCUUCGGCUGUCACUUAUGGAUGGACCCGCGUCGCAUUAGCUAGUUGGUGAGGUAACGGCUCACCAAGGCAACGAUGCGUAGCCGACCUGGGAGGGUGAUCGGCCACACUGGGACUGAGAGAAGGCCCAGACGCCUACGGGAGGCAGCAGUAGGGAAUCUUCCGCAAUGGGCGAAAGUCUGACGGAGCAACGCCGCGUGAGUGAUGAAGGCUUUCGGGUCGUAAAACUCUGUUGUUAGGGAAGAACAAGUGCUAGUUGAAUAAGCUGGCACCUUGACGGUACCUAACCAGAAAGCCACGGCUAACUACGUGCCAGCCGCCGCGGUAA
rnacentral:rRNA from 1 species